AUCGAGGGAAGAACCCAGCACUGAAAUGACACAAAUGAAAGAAGAGUACUUCUGCUCUGCUGGGUCUGCGACACUACUUAUCCGAGGAGUCCUCAAACAUCAGGAUGUAGGAAGACACAAGUAAAAGGAGAAGAAUGCUGCUCAGCUGAGUCGGCGGUCACACUACUUAUUCAAGAAGCUCUUGGAUAUCAUCGGCAUGUGUGAAGCACAGUCAUUCCGGUAGGCACGGAGUCGUUCCUCGAUGGACGUGAUGACCUGGCACCAAAACCACUUAAUGUGUAUGAAGCUGUGUCUGCAUCGAGGGAAGAACCCAGCACUGAAAUGACACAAAUGAAAGAGGACGUCUUCUCUGCUGGGUCUGCGACACUACUUAUCCUAGGAAUCCUCAAACAUCAGGAUGUAGGAAACUUAUGGUGAGAUGCCAAGAACCGCCAUGAGGGAUAUGCAACCUGCAGCUUCACCAUGCUUUUGGGAGAUCAUGUACUACGUGAACCUUGAGUAUCUACAAGCCAGCUACUUUAAGUCCUUGAAAGGGUAGUGAUGUCAUUCAAGCCAGAUCACGAGACAAGGUCCUGUACAAACUGUCAAUCUAAGUGUUGCGACAUCCCUGUCAGUUCUUUUGGACUGAAUACAUGCUGUGUUUGAAAUGUAUUAUUCGGAUAACCUCCCAUCAGGGAAUACCUUGUCUGUUAAUGACGGAUGGACAUGCCAUUGACAUGCAGUGCACACUUUGAUGUUUUUUAUUGUAAUGUUUUCUAUGUUUUUCCGAUGUUCUUUUUUAUUUAUGUUCUGUUAUAUGCUGGUUAUGUAAGUACUGUAUGGAGUGUAGUGACUGUGGAGCCCAAGACAAAUUUCAACCUGGGGACAAAAAGUUCACUCCACUCUGUUAGCGCAGUUAUGGAUGCACUGUAAAUUUUGUAAUUAACCAAAAGUACGGUGAGAAGCCUGUUUGUGCAGAUGGACCUGCUGGCGGGCCUGUUUACUCAUAGCUAAAAAGCAACAUAUUCUCUGUGCAAAGCACAUGGGCUCUUUGCAAAGGGGUUAAACAUUUUCAUGUG